GGAAAGGUGAAAAGAACCCCGAACAGGGGAGUGAAAUAGAACCUGAAACCAUACGCUUACAACCUGUCGGAGCAGCUUCGUGCUGUGACGGCGUGCCUAUUGAAUAAUGAGCCUACGAGUUACUAAUCACUGGCGAGGUUAAGUGCACGGAUGCACGGAGCCGAAGCGAAAGCGAGUCUUAAUAGGGCGUUUAGUCAGUGGUUGUAGACGCGAAACCUUGCGAUCUACCCUUGAGCAGGUUGAAGGUUGGGUAAAACCAACUGGAGGACCGAACGAAUAAGCGUUGAAAAGCUUCUCGAUGACUUGAGGGUAGGGGUGAAAGGCUAAUCAAGCUGGGAAAUAGCUCGUACUCCCCGAAAUGCCUUUAGGGGCAGCGUUGUAAUAAAGAGUCUACUGGAGGUAGAGCUACUGAUUGGAUGCGGGGGCUUCACCGCCUACCAAAUCCUGACAAACUCCGAAUGCCAGUAGUAUGAUUUACAGCAGUGAGCGACCGGGUGCUAAUGUCCGGUUACGAGAGUGGAACAACACAGACCAGCAACUAAGGUCCCCAAGAGUAUACUAAGUUGAUCUAACGAUGUUUUGUUGCAGAGACAGCUAGGAUGUUAGCUUGGAAGCAGCUAUUCAUUCAAAGAGUGCGUAACAGCUCACUAGUCGAGCGACAAAGCGUGGAUAAUAAACGGGCAUCAAGUAUACCACCGAAGUUCUGGGCACGAAAGUGCGGUAGGGGAGCAUUCCAUUCAGCGUCGAAGCCGAAUCGUGAGAUUUGGUGGAGCGUAUGGAAAAGCAAAUGUAGGCAUGAGUAACGAUAAUGCGGGAGAGUAACCCGCACACCGCAAGACCAAGGUUUCCUGAUCAACGCUAAUCGGAUCAGGGUUAGUCGGGUCCUAAGGGUAAGCCGAACGGCGAUCUCGAUGGAUAAUCGGUUAAUAUUCCGAUACUGACAUAUACCUCGAUGGAGAGACGAAGGAACGUAAGUGCCGCCACCUGACGGAAUAGGUGGUUAAAGGGCUUAGGUAUAGGGGCAGAUUAAGAGUUAGUCCUUGCUGAAACCUGACAGUACAGAGAGCCUACGGGCAAUUUGAUAGUGCACCCAAGUCGACUUCCGAGAAAAUCUUCUAAGUUAUAGUAUAUGUCACCCGUACCGUAAACCGACACAGGUGGUCGAGGAGAGUAUCCUAAGGUGCUCGAGUGAAUCACGGUUAAGGAACUAGGCAAAUUAACCCCGUAACUUCGGGAAAAGGGGUCCCAUCGCGAGGUGGGCGCAGCGAAGAGGUCCAGGCGACUGUUUAUCAAAAACACAGGGCUCUGCAAAUUCGAAAGAAGACGUAUAGGGCCUGACACCUGCCCGGUGCUGGAAGGUUAAGAGGGGAUGUCAUCGCAAGAGAAGCAUUGAAUCGAAGCCCCAGUAAACGGCGGCCGUAACUAUAACGGUCCUAAGGUAGCGAAAUUCCUUGUCGGGUAAGUUCCGACCUGCACGAAUGGUGUAACGAUCUGGACACUGUCUCAACCGUGAGCUCGGUGAAAUUGUAGUCCCGGUGAUGAUGCCGGGUACCCGCAACGGGACGAAAAGACCCCGUGAACCUUUACUAUAGCUUAACGCUGAAUUUGGGUACACAAUGUGUAGGAUAGGC
rnacentral:rRNA from 1 species